CCUACGAGAGGCAGCAGUGAGGAAUAUUGGUCAAUGGGCGGAAGCCUGAACCAGCCAAGUAGCGUGCAGGAUGACGGCCCUACGGGUUGUAAACUGCUUUUAUACGGGAAUAACGCGCCUUACGUGUAGGGCUUUGCAUGUACCGUAUGAAUAAGGACCGGCUAAUUCCGUGCCAGCAGCCGCGGUAAUACGGAAGGUCCGGGCUUUAUCCGGAUUUAUUUGGUUUAAAGGGAGCGUAGGCCGCAUGUCAAGCGUGCUGUGAAAUGUCCGGGCUUAACCCGGGCCUUGCAGCGGAUACUGGCGUGCUUGAGUCCGCGGAAAGCAGGCGGAAUGCGUGGUGUAGCGGUGAAAUGCUUAGAUAUGACGAAGAACCCCGAUUGCGAAGGCAGCUUGCUGCAGCGGAACUGACGCUGAUGCUCGAAAGCGCGGGUAUCGAACAGGAUUAGAUACCCGGGUAGUC
rnacentral:rRNA from 1 species